UACGUAGGGGGCAAGCGUUAUCCGGAUUUACUGGGUGUAAAGGGAGCGUAGGCGGUUCAGCAAGUCAGAAGUGAAAGCCCGGGGCUCAACCCCGGGACUGCAUUUGGAACUGUAUAGCUAGAGUGUCGGAGAGGCAGGCGGAAUUCCUAGUGUAGCGGUGAAAUGCGUAGAUAUUAGGAGGAACACCAGUGGCGAAGGCGGCCUGCUGGACGGAGACUGACGCUGAGGCUCGAAAGCGUGGGGAGCAAACAGG
rnacentral:rRNA from 1 species